rnacentral:rRNA from 1 species
UACGUAGGAUGCAAGCGUUGUCCGGAAUUACUGGGCGUAAAGGGCGAGUAGGCGGCCCCGCAAGUCAGAUGUGAAAUAGCCCGGCUUAACCGGGAGGGGUCAUUUGAAACUGCGGAGCUAGAGUGCAGGAGAGGCUAGCGGAAUUCCCGGUGUAGUGGUGAAAUGCGUAGAUAUCGGGAGGAACACCAGUGGCGAAGGCGGCUUCCUGGACCGACACUGACGCUGAGGCGCGAAAGCUAGGGGAGCAAACGGG